UGCCCAGCGAAUCCUAUCCCUACCUCCUCGUGGUACUUGCCGGAAACUACGAGCAACCUUAGGGAAGA
rnacentral:ribozyme from 1 species